rnacentral:rRNA from 1 species
CAGUCGCCGCGGUAAUACGAAGGGGGCUAGCGUUGUUCGGAAUUACUGGGCGUAAAGCGCACGCAGGCGGCUCGAUAAAUUAGAAGUGAAAGCCUUGGGCUUAACCUGAGAAUUGCUUUUAAGACUGUCGAGCUAGAAUCCAGAAGAGGGUAGUGGAAUUCCGAGUGUAGAGGUGAAAUUCGUAGAUAUUCGGAAGAACACCAGUGGCGAAGGCGACUACCUGGUCUGGCAUUGACGCUCAUGUGCGAAAGCGUGGGGAGCAAACAGGAUUAGAUACCCGAGUAGUCCCUGUCUCUUAUAA